UUGAAUUUCGGGAUUAGUACGCCGGUCGUGCCUUCGGUAUGUACUGGUGUUACUGGUUCCUACCUUCUGACGAACCGUCAUGUCAUUAAUUUGGUGUAGCCGGGGAAUCAGGACUGUUACUUUGAAAAAUUUAGAGUGUUUAAAGCAGGCUCGCGCUUGAAUACAUUAGCAAGGAAUAAUGAAAUAGGACGUUCGAUCCUAUUUUGUUGGUUUCUAGGAUUGACGUAAUGAUUAAUAGGGAUAGUUGGGGCAUUAGUAUUCAAUUGUAAGAGGUGAAAUUCUUGGAUUUAUUGAAGACUAACUACUGCGAAAGCAUUUGCCAAGGAUGUUUUCAUUAAUCAAGAACGAAAGUUAGGGGAUCGAAGACGAUCAGAUACCGUCGUAGUCUUAACCAUAAACUAUGCCGACUAGGGAUCGGAUGAUGUUAUUUUUAAUGACUC
rnacentral:rRNA from 1 species